rnacentral:lncRNA from 10 species
CAGAGGGCAGAUGAUGUGAAGACGCAGAAAGAUGAGAGCCAUCUACAAACCAAGCAGGGAGGCCUGAGAAGGAACCAACCCACUAGCAUCGUGAUCUCGCACUUUCAGCCUCCAGCAUGGGGAGAAAAUAAAUUCCUGUUGUUCAAGCCUUUCCAGAUCUGUGGAUCUCUGGUACCUCAUAGGCACCCCGAGAAGACUAGAAGAGUUGGUUAGGAUCAGAAAUGAAAUGAAAAUGAAGCAGCCACCACGGCUUGCCUGGUACCCUCUUGCCUCAUUCCAGCUCCUGGCUGUUCAAGUGUCACUCUUCAGCUUGGAAACGGGAGAAAACCUUGGAUCAGAAAACCUGGAGCCAGACAGACCUGGAUUUAAAGCCCAGCUUUCAGCACAGGAGGAGGAAGUUUGGACACAAAGGAGAGACACCAAGGGCAUCUAUCUGCAGAGGAAAGAUCGUGUGAGGAGACCGUGAGAAGAAGGCCAUCUGGAAGCCCAAGAGAGAGCCCUCAGAAGUAAUCCUACCAACACCUUGAUCUUGGACUUUCUGCCUCCAGAAUGUGAGAAAAUAAAUCUCUGUUGUUUAAGCCACAGUUUGUGGUAUUUUGUGGUGCUGGCCUGAGCAGACUAAUAUAACCUCCGU